CGUGCGCCGCGAUACCUGAUACACGUCCCCUCCCCUCCUCUAAUACAGUCUGGAGAGGGGAUGGGGGCGAGGGGGGCGCAUAUUGUCCCGUAUAGACGCAUGCUUACACAUCUCCCCACUCCCACACACAGCCUGGGGGGCGGGGGAGCAAGGGGAUGAUGCACAUAAUAAUAAAGAGUCGUGACACACACAGAGAUCGUUGCACCUUGAGUCGCUCCCUGUGCCUGCCUCGGGUGCAGGGAAUACCUCUGGCGGCCCCGUGGGGAAGCUUCCACUCUUGGGACGCGGUUCUCUUUUUUUUCCCUAGAGGUACAUUUAUUAGGAAUGUGCUCGCUCUCCCAGGGCCCCGCACUGACCUAGCACAAUAAAGAAUGUAGUAGCAAGUUCCAUCGGGUGCAGGGAUCCUCCUGUCUCGCGUUUUUGUCAGCUUGACCUUCGGCGAUGACACUCACGACCUGCAUGAGAACCGCCGCCACGAGGGUCCGCGCUGUGCUUGCAACCUGUGGCGUGAAAAAUAAGUCUCGGGACACUUCACGGCGUGGUUGGUGGCUGGUGUCAAGGUGCCAAGGCAAGUGUUCAGGCAAGGCCUUGGUCAAGGUCGCCUUGGUCAAGUCCUUCCGGUGUGCCGCGGGCUGAAGGGGCGCCACGCAGCACUACCUGUGUGGCUCAUGGCCCCGGAGUGUCAAAGUGUGCCGCUGCAUGGGCCGCUGCAGCGUGAUAAUAGGACUUUCGUAACUGGGAGCCACGCACACCUUCCCCUUCCUGAAGCCCCAUAACCGCGGCGCGGGGAGGCGUGCAGGCUGGUCCCCCAGAGGCCGCCGCCACGCCCGCACGGCCAGGCGCCGAGCGAGCGGUGCUGCACAGUGCAUGGCUGCCGCCGCUGCUGGGGGUCCGGGGAACGACCGUGGCCCCGACCCUGACCCUCGCCGCCCCUCCGCCUCCCCUUGGGCUCACGCCAAGGAUAUCUCACGCACGUGUGUCUGCUGGCUGGCUGUGUCUGGAGCGGCGUCUAUCAACCGGUCAUCAGCCAGUCAACCACCCAUCAUCAGCCAGCCGUCAGUCAUUCAUUAAUUAUUUACCAGCACCUCUCCUCCUCGUGUGCAGGGAAAAAAAGAAAGCAAUAUGCCUCUCCCUUCUCCUUCGUUGUUUUACUUGUAACAAUAAACUAUCAAUCAAUCAA